rnacentral:lncRNA from 1 species
CUUGUUUGCGUCUGGUCCUGCGUAGAACAACAAUAAAGGAGUAAUAUUUUUAUAAACAGAAAAAGUUUUGGAGGCUGUCUAGCCCGUGGAGGCAAGUGUGAACUGGACGCGAUGGUAACAAAUUUAAUCUGUCGUCUGAGGAUUAGAUUAAUAAUAAAGACCAGUUUUUAUGGUUAUUAAUCAAAAUAAUAUCAAUUUUCUGAACAAAUCAAAAGCAUAGAACAACCCUUCACCUCGUGGGAGGACUUGCUGGAAACUGGAGCCCCCAAUGUCGCCGGCGAGCAUCGAUGCUGCACAUAAACACCUAACGAACAGCCAACACCCUCACGCCUGGUGGCCACAUCAUCUACAUCUACAAGCCCCAGAGCCCGUCGCAGAACCAACAGCAAGACACCAAGAACCCGCAGACAGAUAUGUACCAUAAGUGCCAUCGAUAAGUAUAAUAUGUGAUCUGUUAAGUUUCGGCAAGGUCUUUUUUACAGCCGUGCUAAAAAAGCCACUUUCCCGCACGCAUUUCGUUUCCGAAAGUUGCACUUUUCCGCAAGGCGGGCUUGAAAGUUAAUUUUCCCACACGGCGUGAGGGAAAGUUGAAUACCUUCUAAUAUUGCAUUUUAAUAUACUAUAAUACAUGCAAUAAACGAAUAUUUAUAUA